CAAUAUCGGUCACUGGAUUAAUCUCUCAAUUUGUCUUAUUUCAUUCUUAGGAAAAAAAAGGACGAGAAAAAUCUACUAAUUUCGGGGUAACCACUAGCUCCAGAAUACCCAUAGUACAUUAGAUGCAUUUCUUUGAAAUUUCCUUCCUGUUGCCAUUUGCUGGUGACCCUCUACCCAUCUCAGUGAUAUAUAUUUUACCACUGUCCAAUAGUUCCUAUUUCACACAUGACCCAGAAUUAAAAAGUGAAAGUUUGACAUUAUUGGAGAGAUUUCUUCUUCAAAUCAGGAAAGCUGAAUUCUACUCACAGACCUGCCACUGGGAACUUUGGCAACGUUUUGGAGACUUUAUACGGAGAUCUAUCCUUUUUAAUCUUUCCAAAGUCCUGAUGAAGUAGGUAUUAGUCCUUCAGCUUUUCAGAUGAGGAAGAGGUUCAGAGCCAUUCGGAGAAGUGCAUCCCAGCGGAAUCUACAAAGUCCACAGUUGCCAGGAUGGAUCACUGACUAUUCUUGGUCCACAUGCUUGUGAAGAUGUCCCCAGUUCAUCUUCAAGAGCCGAUACCAGCAAGCCUUUGGGUUGUAAGCUGUAAAGUAGGAGAGAAAUCCAGCAACCGUCUUCUUGAUUCCUCCCUCACUUUGUUCUUCUCUGUCUCAGCAGUUGAUCCUUUGCAGUCUGGCCACCUCUUGCCCUUUGGUUUUUCUGCAGCAGAGACCUUGAACCUCUGCAGCCUGUGGGGCACAGCAGGCUCACAAACAAGUUUGGCUCAUCCUAGGUCAUAUUUAAAAAAUAAAAUAAAAGGACUUAGCUGUCAACUUUGUAAAAUCAGGAGGUUGCACAUAAAAAUCCUGACUGUCAAGGACAUUUCUGGUGAUCCAGAGCUUGAGACUCGGUGCACCCACUCCAAGGGGCACUGAUUCGAGCCCUGGUUGGGGAACUAAA